ACUGAUUCCAGUGCAGUGCUUUUUACUCAAUCAGUACGGUCCUGUAUUAGUGCUUCAAAGACGUGAAGUGGAAAUAGAUUCAUGCAUAUUGUAUGUGUAUAAAGGAUUUAGAAAAUGUACAAAAUAUACCAAUAUGUACGUCAAAACACACACACAAACGUUGCUAGUCAUGCUACUGUAUGCGGCUGCAGUCGACUUACCAACUGUGUGGUUCUGGGGUGAGUUGCUGGUGAAGUGCUACAGAAAAUCCAAAAAAGCUCCCUUUCUCCCCCUCCUUGAUCAGAGUCAUGCUAGUAUCCAGGUUGAACCCUGCCACCGUCAGGGAAUAUAGGGAGAGAAGGAGCAAAAAGAGAGGAAGACACCAGGGCUGUGAAAGAGAGACUCCAUGUACCACAUGUGGUGCCAUAGUCCUGGAGAAUGAGCAGGUCCCUCAACAGAGCAGGUCCCUCAACAGAGCAGGUCCCUCAACAGAGCAGGUCCCUCAACAGAGCAGGUCCCUCAACAGAGCAGGUCCCUCAACAGAGCAGGUCCCUCAACAGAGCAGUGCAAGUCUCUCAGCAGAGCAGGUCCCUCAGCAGAACAGGUUCCUCAGCAGAGCAGGUCCCUCAGCAGAGCAGGACCGUUAGCACAGCAGAACAGGUUCCUCAGCAGAGCAAGUCCCUCAGUAGAGCAGAGCAAGUCCUUCAGUAGAGCAGAGCAGGUUCCUCAGCAGAGCAGAGCAGGACCCUCAGCACUGCAGAGCAGGUCCCUCAGCAGAGCAAGUCCAUCAACAGAGCAGAGCAGGUCCCUCAGUAGAGCAGGUCCCUCAGCAGAGCAGGUCCCUCAGCAGAGCAGAGCAGGUCUCUCAGCAGAGCAGAGCAGGUCUCUAAGCAGAGCAGGUCUCUCAGCAGAGCAGAGCAGGUCUCUCAGCAGAGCAGGUCUCUCAGCAGAGCAGAGCAGGUCUCUCAACAGAGCAGGUCUCAGAGCAGAGCAGGUCUCUCAGCAGAGCAUGUCUCUCAGCAGAGCAGAGCAGGUCCCUCAGCAGAGCAGGUGUCUCAGCAGAGCAGAGCAGGUCUCUCAGCAGAGCUAGUCCCUCAGCAGAGCAGGUGUCUCAGCAGAGCAGAGCAGGUCUCUUAGCAGAGCAGAGCAGGUCCCUCAGCAGAGCUGGUCCCUCAGCAGAGCAGAGCAGGUCCCUCAACAGAGCAGGUCCCUCAGCAGAGCAGAGCAGGUCCCUCAGCAGAGCUGGUCCCUCAGCAGAGCAGAGCAGGUCCCUCAGCAGAGCAGGUCCCUCAGCAGAGCAGAGCAGGUCUCUCAACAGAGCAGAGCAGGUCUCUCAGCAGAGCAGAGCAGGUCCCAGUUCAGUUACAGAUUAAUGAAGAGUAUAAUUAUUGUGUUUAAAUUGAUGAACAGCAAAGACAGGAUGGGUUUCUGCUGUUUGAAUCUCCUGGAUCGGUACAUUUCCCUUCUCUCCUUCUCUCCUUCUCUCUCUCGCUCUCCUCCUCCGUUUUCUGCUGUCAGUCUGUGGAGCAACCUGAGAAAAUGUGGCUCUGUCCGAGCUACUGUGUGUGUGUGUGUGUGUGUGUGUGUGUGUGUGUGUGUGUGUGUGUGUGUGUGUGUGUGUGUGUGUGUGUGUGUGUGUGUGUGUGUGUGUGUGUGUGUGUGUGUGUGUGUGUGUGUGCACGCACGCGUGUGUGUGUGUGUG